AUUGAACGCUGGCGGCAGGCCUAACACAUGCAAGUCGAACGAGUGGCGGAGGGGUGAGUAAUGUCUGGGAAACUGCCCGAUGGAGGGGGAUACCUACUGGAAACGGUAGCUAUUACCGCAUACCAUCGGAUGUGCCCAGAUGGGGUUAGCUAGUAGGUGGGGUAACGGCUCACCUAGGCGACGCUCCCUAGCUGGUCUAAGCGGAUGACCGGCCACACUGGAACUGGGACACGGACCAGACUCCUACGGGAGGCAGCAGUGGGGAAUAUUGCACAAUGGGCGCAAGCCUGAUGCAGCCACGCCGCGUGUGUGAAGAAGGCCUUCGGGUUGUAAAGUACUGUUAGCGAGGAGGCGUUACUCACAGAAGAAGCCACGGCUAACUCCGUGCCAGCAGCCGCGGUAAUAC
rnacentral:rRNA from 1 species